rnacentral:rRNA from 1 species
UACGUAGGGGGCGAGCGUUGUCCGGAAUUAUUGGGCGUAAAGAGCGUGUAGGCGGUUCGGUAAGUCUGCCGUGAAAACCUGGGGCUCAACCCCGGGCGUGCGGUGGAUACUGCCGGGCUAGAGGGUGGUAGAGGCGAGUGGAAUUCUCGGUGUAGCGGUGAAAUGCGUAGAUAUCGAGAGGAACACCUGCGGCGAAGGCGGGUUGCUGGGCCGACACUGACGCUGAUGCGCGAAAGCCAGGGGAGCGAACGGG